AGUUACCAAGGUGAAAUCAAUUUUAGCAAGGUAAAAACAAAUGUAUUUUCGUAUGAUUAUUUCGAUUAUGAAUGAGUUUGCGCAGCUUUGGUCGCACACCAAAGUAUAGUUAAUGUUUAUCUAGGCUAAUACUGUUCAGACGUCUUUGGGAGAAGGGGUAAAUUGAUAGCAUUUUUUUCUUUGCAACAAGAUUGUCCGAGUGUAGUGACUCUUCCAAACUGCUUUGAAAAAGGUGGUGCCCGUUCCCAGGCAUGCCUGGACACAUUUCAGGCUAAAAUGCCAUUGCCCGUCAAAUUUGAGCGGAGGUUGUGGACAGAAAGGGCGCUUGAAUUCAAACAUUAACGGUUGCCUCUCUGAUGUGUCGCUCCCGUGUCGCAGUGAUUUGAACUACUCUCCAGCAGGUACUUCGUCUGAUUAUUCUGGACUUGUCUGAACGUUGCAGCUUGUCUUCAGUUAACACGGCCAAGCCAAACGUGUUCAGUGGUCCUCAACUGGAUUCUUCUUGACAUUAUUACCUUUCCAGGGCAUUGAUAGGGCUGCACCAUCAUUAGGGCUGGUCCCAGUCAAACUACCAAGUUCCACUCAGCGUUCUCCUGCUGCUGGAAGUUCUCCUCCCUGAUCCUUCAAUGUGGACCUGUUUCUACAUUCAGUCAGGACAUUUAUGGUCCUGGGUUCCCGAUCCAUUCCACCCACCCUGGUGGGACCCUCGAUGUCCACAUGCUGCUCCCUUGCCUCAACAGCUACAGGAGGGCAACACAUUGGAAACCCCUUGACUGCUUGCUGAUCUUUUUAAUGGACUAUCAAAAACUUUGGACUUUUGUCUGACUAUGGACCAAGAGAGGAUUUUACGUAUUAGAAGUGAAAUCAUUACAUUAUACUGUUAAUUUCACAAUAAAACCAUAUUUCAUGGCAAAA